GGCCAUAGUGGUGUAGUGGUUUUGAGUGUUGGACUACGAUUCUGGAGGCCAGGGUUUGAAUCCCCACUUGGCCA